UAAGGAAUAUUGCUCAAUGGGAGAAAUCCUGAAGCAGCAACGCCGCGUGGAGGAUGAAGGGUCUAUGACUUGUAAACUCCUGUAAAGAAGGAAAAAAUUCCCACUUGAUGGGGGAUGAUGGUACUUCUGGAGUAAGCCCCGGCUAACUACGUGCCAGCAGCCGCGGUAAUACGUAGGGGGCAAGCGUUGUCCGGAUUUACUGGGUGUAAAGGGUGCUCAGGCGGAUUUGUAAGUCAGAGGUGAAAUCUUACAGCUUAACUGUGAAACUGCCUUUGNUACUGCAAGCCUAGAGUAUGGAAGAGAGUGAUGGAAUAUCUGGUGUAGCAGUGAAAUGCGUAGAUAUCAGAUAGAACACCAAUGGCGAAGGCAGUCACUUGGUCCAUUACUGACGCUAAAGCACGAAAGCGUGGGUAGCAAACA
rnacentral:rRNA from 1 species